CUUCCAGUAGCACCUUAGAGACCAACUAAGUUUGUUAUUGGUAUGAGCUUUCGUGUGCAUGCACACUUCUUCAGGAAAGCUCAUACCAAUAACCUAGUUGGUCUCUAAGGCGCUACUGGAAG